GGGUUGUGAGGUUAAGCGACUAAGCGUACACGGUGGAUGCCCUGGCAGUCAGAGGCGAUGAAGGACGUGCUAAUCUGCGAUAAGCGCCGGUAAGGUGAUAUGAACCGUUAUAACCGGCGAUUUCCGAAUGGGGAAACCCAGUGUGAUUCGUCACACUAUCAUUAACUGAAUCCAUAGGUUAAUGAGGCGAACCGGGGGAACUGAAACAUCUAAGUACCCCGAGGAAAAGAAAUCAACCGAGAUUCCCCCAGUAGCGGCGAGCGAACGGGGAGGAGCCCAGAGCCUGAAUCAGCAUGUGUGUUAGUGGAAGCGUCUGGAAAGGCGCGCGAUACAGGGUGACAGCCCCGUACACAAAAGCGCAUGUGCUGUGAGCUCGAUGAGUAGGGCGGGACACGUGGUAUCCUGUCUGAAUAUGGGGGGACCAUCCUCCAAGGCUAAAUACUCCUGACUGACCGAUAGUGAACCAGUACCGUGAGGGAAAGGCGAAAAGAACCCCGGCGAGGGGAGUGAAAAAGAACCUGAAACCGUGUACGUACAAGCAGUGGGAGCACCCUUUGGGGUGUGACUGCGUACCUUUUGUAUAAUGGGUCAGCGACUUAUAUUCUGUAGCAAGGUUAACCGAAUAGGGGAGCCGGAGGGAAACCGAGUCUUAACCGGGCGUUAAGUUGCAGGGUAUAGACCCGAAACCCGGUGAUCUAGCCAUGGGCAGGUUGAAGGUUGGGUAACACUAACUGGAGGACCGAACCGACUAAUGUUGAAAAAUUAGCGGAUGACCUGUGGCUGGGGGUGAAAGGCCAAUCAAACCGGGAGAUAGCUGGUUCUCCCCGAAAGCUAUUUAGGUAGCGCCUCGUGAAUUCAUCUCCGGGGGUAGAGCACUGUUUCGGCUAGGGGGCCAUCCCGGCUUACCAACCCGAUGCAAACUGCGAAUACCGGAGAAUGUUAUCACGGGAGACACACGGCGGGUGCUAACGUCCGUCGUGAAGAGGGAAACAACCCAGACCGCCAGCUAAGGUCCCAAAGUCAUGGUUAAGUGGGAAACGAUGUGGGAAGGCCCAGACAGCCAGGAUGUUGGCUUAGAAGCAGCCAUCAUUUAAAGAAAGCGUAAUAGCUCACUGGUCGAGUCGGCCUGCGCGGAAGAUGUAACGGGGCUAAACCAU
rnacentral:rRNA from 1 species